AUUGAACGAUGGCGGCAGGCCUAACACAUGCAAGUCGAGCGAGAGGCGGACGGGUGAGUAAUGUCUGGGAAACUGCCUGAUGGAGGGGGAUAACUACUGGAAACGGUAGCUAAUACCGCACACCAUCAGAUGUGCCCAGCUGGGAUUAGCUGGUAGGUGGGGUAACGGCUAACCUAGGCGACGAUCCCUAGCUGGUCGGAGAGGAUGACCGGCCCCACUGGAACGGAGACACGGUCCAGACUCCUACGGUACGCAGCAGUGUGGAAUAUUGCACAAUGGGCGCAAGCCUGAUACAGCCAUGCCGCGUGUGUUACGAAGGCCUUCGGGUUGUAAAGCACUUUCAGCGGGGAGGCGUUACCCGCAGAAGAAGCACCGGCUAACUCCGUGCCAGCAGCCGCGGUAAUUC
rnacentral:rRNA from 1 species